UCCAGAGGGGUGCAUCCAGCUGAGAGCUUUCGACUUUUGCUCUUAUGGCGCAAUUUCCGCCGAUUUCACGUUUUCGGCGCACGAUGGCGCAAGAAAUCAACCUUGUAUCAAAAUUGCGCAAUUGGCGCAGCCGUAGCACCCCUGCCAAAAUGUACCGGGGACCAAAGCCCGGCACAUUUCCGGAAAUCGAAAGUGCCGUUCUGAACCAUGUGCACAAACUUAGACAGAGGGGCAUGGCGGUGUUGUGUGAAAUAUAAUACAGACACAUGCACAACAAACGGCUUGCAAGAUAGGAAUUGCCAGCAGUGACUUCAAGGAGCCUUUUGGGCUUUGCUUCCGAACCUCCGGCAGUCGUCAGCCCCAUGGGGCCGCUUGAGUCACGGAAAUUGCCCCACACGUACACAACACCGGAUUGGGUGAGUGCUGCCGAAUGGGAGUCACCAGCACAAAUCUUUGCCACAGGUUCAGUGAGAUCCACUCGUCCUGGGGUGGCUUCCGAACCAUCCGUGCUCGACGUCACACGCCCUAGCGCGCCCUCAUCGUUGCACCCAAACGAAUAAAUCUGUAAAUGUAACGAAUAAAGAAAAAUGAGUAACACUACA